GUGAGCCGGAGAAAUGUCACUCUCACUACACUACAUUCUGUCUUCUUUCCAUCCUUGUUCCAUUCACCCUCUGUAGGUGACCAGUCUCUUUCAUUUCUGGUUUAUCCUUACUGCAUUUCUUUUGCACAAAUGUGCAGAUACAUGUACACUUUCUCAUGUCCUCUUCUUUCUUCUAUGAAGAGCUGUUUACUGUAGACACUCUUGGGCUUUGCUUACUUCACUGAACACUAUGUCCUGGAAUUCACUCCAUAUUCAUUCAUACAGCUCUUCCUCAAUUCUUUUUUAUAACUGCACACUGCUUCAUCUUAUUGAUGUGCCAUGAUUUAUUCAACCACUAAAUACUGGACGUUUAGGUGUUUCCAAUAUUUUGCAAUGAGAAACAAUGCUGCAAUGAAUAACCUUGUGCAUAUGUGUUUUAUUAUCAUCAGAAGUGCGUUUUCGGAGUGGAUCCCUAGAAGUGGGAUUGCUGGGUCAAAAGGUCAGGCAUGGCAGGCGUACAGCACAGGAACUGAGAGAACCUGCUCCUGUAUCCAUGGCAGGCAUCACAGAUUGAUCAUGGACAUUUUCCCACUAGUUACAGAAGCAGAUCCUAAACAGUUAAUCAAAACAUAUCAUGAAAUCAAACCUACUUGUCAUUAAAAAUAUUUAGUGUUUUAAUAUAAAGUUGUAUAAAUUCUCUCAAUAAUAAUUAGGUUAAAAUUUUAAGUAGUGAUAUUGGUAAACCUGGGUACCUUCUGGUGAGGUACUGCAGGGGGUAUAACUGGGAGAUGCCAAGAGGAAUUUAGUCGCCAUUCACCAAAAUUCCUGCUGUGUUCUAAGUUCUGUGUUCAGGAGUUUAAAUAAUAUGGUCCUUGUCCUCUUGGACUGCCAGGUAAGCAGAGGAGACAAACAGAUGCAAAAAUGGCCAUAAUACAACGCAGGAAGUGAGAAAGUCCAUACAAACCAAGUGGCUGAGAAGCUGGUGGCAGAACUGGUGAAGGUUCCUUGGAGCAGGACUCAUCAGAAUUGGCCUUUGUACAUUUGGUGGGACCAGCAGAGCCUGCGAAAAGAGUGCUCUGGGCUGAGGAUGAAAGAGUGCUCUAGGUUUAAGGGGGAGGGAGGGGCAAUGUCAUGUAAUGAUGGCUCUGGCACAGUCACACUGAACAUCACCCUGAGGCCACCAGCUUGAGGCUUUGAGCACCCCUGCAGUCAGGUCAGGGCAGAGGCUCCUCCAUAGCCUGUCAUGUAAGAUAAAUGACCACAAAAGCACUUCAUUCAUCUGGAAAUUACCCCUUUACAAAUCUCAGCUGACAGGAACAAGGUCUCUGUGCAGCCGUGACAGAUGCCCCAAAGGCCAAGCACUAAAACCUAGGAUGCUUCACUCAGGAAAGUCAGCUGGUUCCUGACUCACAGCCUGUUUUGCUUCCUUUUACCCAUGAUGCUGAUACAGGAGUUAAGAAGAAAUUAUUUAGGCAGAUAGUGGGGGUAAGGAAGUCCUCGGUAAGGUUUUCCUUUAAUGAAAAGCAGCUCCCAAAUCAUUUUCUUUUCUAACAAAGAACAGCUUGUAAAAUUGAGCUGCAGACAUAGACAAGGAAGCUGGAAGCUUGCACGGGUGAAUAUCAGCAGCUGUGUCAAUACGAAAAGGGUACCUGGGGGCUACACAUGUCCAAUAGGGUGGCUCCAUCUUCCCCUUUCCUUGUCAACCAGGUGCACAGUAAGGGGCAGGCAACAUCGCACUGGCCAAGUAGAGAUCCCAUUUGCAUAAUAAAAGAUUAGGGUGGGGUGGCCAGAUUCCUGGCAAGCUAUGUAAACGUCACACCUGGUCCAACCAAUCUUCAGGCCUUGUGUAAAUCAGACCCUGGCUCCUCAAGCCUGUCUAUAAAACCCUGUGCACUCUGCUGGUCCCACUCGGGCACCCCUGUCUCACAGGAGAGAGAACUGUUCUCCUUUCUCUUUCUUUUGCCUGUUAAACCUCUGCUCUUAACCUCACUCCACGUGCCUCUGUGUCCUUGAUUCCUCAGCAUGAGGCAACGAACCUCGGGUAUUUACCCCAGACAACCAUGCUGCUUCAAUGCCAGCAAGUUGUGCUGUUUGGUUUUCUAGACCAUAAUAAAAGGAUGUGAUUGGAUUGGGUCGGUGUAAAAGCAGACAUGCAGAGAGAAACAAGAAGUGUCAGCUACCAGCAGGAGAUUUGUAGGAGCAUUGUGACCUGACCAAGCACAAAAAAGUUCCCAACCUCAUUGGAUCCUUGCUCCCAGAUGUCUGCGGUAGUCCAUUAUCUCUUGAUCCUACCCACCUCCUCUUCCUCCUGCCCUGAAUGUAGAAAGAGCCUAAAAUUUGUA
rnacentral:lncRNA from 1 species